rnacentral:rRNA from 1 species
UACGUAGGGUGCGAGCGUUAAUCGGAAUUACUGGGCGUAAAGCGUGCGCAGGCGGUGAUGUAAGACAGGUGUGAAAUCCCCGGGCUUAACCUGGGAACUGCAUUUGUGACUGCAUCGCUGGAGUGCGGAAGAGGGGGAUGGAAUUCCGCGUGUAGCAGUGAAAUGCGUAGAUAUGCGGAGGAACACCGAUGGCGAAGGCGGCGACCUGGUCCGAUACUGACGCUGAGGCGCGAAAGCGUGGGGAGCAAACAGG